GAGUGGACUAGGUCGGGCAGUUAGGCCCUGCUCUCUUACCCGCCAUAGAGUCUUUAGCGGGGACCGAACGUCGGGUGCGUCCGGUCAGACCGGUACGGGCCCCGAAAGCCAACGUAGAAACCUCGUCCUGCGGGGACAGCGGCUUCGUGUCGCUCGUCCGCAGGGGCGAACCGUCACGAUUCAUCGACGGUACUGGGUCAGGCGCGGAAGCGAGCAGCCCACCGUCGGACGUGCGUCGCUCGUAGGAUCGCGGGGUGGAGGAGGCAACCGGGAUUCCCCGUGCCGGAACGCCGGGCAACCCCGACCGUCCGCAU
rfam:Halobacteriaceae archaeon SB9 contig_25, whole genome shotgun sequence.